rnacentral:lncRNA from 1 species
CUCCAUGAUUUGCCUGUCUGUGGAACAAGAUCACACCAAGGAGAGCACAGGAUGGAACAGAUGGGACAGCCAGCAUGACAAGCUCCUCCAGGAAAACCAACAGCUCCCUACAGCUUUGAAACUUCUUCCUCUCCAGUUCUACCUCUUCUGCUGCCAGCAACAAUCCUCAGGUGGGCUUUCCACACCCAGCACCAUCCUGACUCAGUUCAGCUGGGGGUUACAAGUUGACCACCAGUUCUCAAUCCACCACACAUCUAAAGGACGAAGAGAAGCUUGUCCAUGCUCUCUCUUCUGUCUUGUUGCUUUUGCUAUCUUCCACUGCCAUGGACUAUUGCCCCUCUGCCAUGUACCACCCUGUCUUGGAGCCAGCUAAUUAGGGACUGAAACCUCUACAAACUGUGAUCUAAAUAAAUAUUUC